rnacentral:rRNA from 1 species
UACGAGUGCCUCAAGCGUUAUCCGGAAUCAUUGGGCGUAAAGGUUGUGUAGGUGGUUGUAUUAGUCUUCUGUUAAAUUCUUCGGCUUAACCGGGGGCAUGCAGGGGAAACGGUACGACUAGAGGAUGCGAGGGGUCUGUGGAAUUCAUAGUGUAGCGGUAAAAUGCUUAGAUAUGACAUAGAACACCAAUUGCGAAGGCAGCUCACUACACAAUUAUUGACUCUGAGGCACGAAAGCGUGGGGAUCAAACAGG